rnacentral:rRNA from 1 species
AGCAGCCGCGGUAAUUCCAGCUCCAAUAGCGUAUAUUAAAGUUGUUGCAGUUAAAAAGCUCGUAGUUGAAUUUCGGGAUCAAAGGAUCGGUCAUGCCUUGGUAUGUACUGGUUUUAUUGGUUCUCACCUUCUAAAGAACCAUAAUGUCAUUCAUUUGAUGUUAUGGGGAAUUAGGACUGUUACCUUGAAAAAUUAGAGUGUUUAAAGCAGGCUUACGCUUGAAUACAUUAGCAUGGAAUAAUGAAAUAGGACAUCAGAUUCUAUUUUGUUGGUUUCUAGGAUCGAUGUAAUGAUUAAUAGGGAUAGUUGGGGGCAUUAGUAUUCAAUUGUCAGAGGUGAAAUUCUUGGAUUUAUUGAAGACUAACUACUGCGAAAGCAUUUGCCAAGGAUGUUUUCAUUAAUCAAGAACGAAAGUUAGGGGAUCGAAGACGAUCAGAUACCGUCGUAGUC